AUGGACCACGCAUUCACUCCGGUUCCGAGCGCGCCGUCCAUGUCCACCUGACGACCGCUCUCCACGUUUUGUUAGCC
rnacentral:sRNA from 1 species